rnacentral:lncRNA from 1 species
AACAAAUUCUUCUCUAAACAAAAAGACGUAUUCUCAUCUUCUCAAUCCCAAAUGAAAAAAGCUAGGGUUCUGCCUCUGUUGAUCGCUGGCGCUGCUACCACAAUCUGUCAGAUCCAUACGCCUUUCAACUCUCGUUGUGUAUCAAUGUAUGCUCUUUCUCCCUUAGAAGUUAGACCCUUCUUCCUUCUUCAAUUCUUCUUUCCUGAUUUUUUUUUCCCUUCUUCCUUCUUCAAUUCUUCUUUCCUGAUUUUUUUUUCUUUCAUUUUUCCUCUUAUAUUUUAUAUUUGAUAAUUUAUACAAAAUUUGAUUUUUAAUUUUUAAUUCUAGGGUUGUCCCACAUUUUGAACUUCAUUCUCUUUGUCAAUUUGUGCUUUGGUUCUUUCCAAAAGUUCGAACUUGGAGUCUCCGAUAAGUCGAUAGACAAGGUAUGUGGUUGUUGUCCUACUUUCUUGUUUUUAGUUUCUUAGGGAGACUAACUUGCAUUCACAUAGAGUGGCCUUAUGUCCUUAUUAAGAAGAAAACUUUCAUAUGUAGUUAGGGCGGAGCUACAGUAGAAGAAAAAUUGGUGACUUUUUUCGAGACCCUGUAUUUAUAAUUUAGAACCCAUACACUUCAAAUCCUAGCUCUGCCUCUGCUGGUC